rnacentral:piRNA from 1 species
UGGUCCUUUGGAAUCCAGUAAUAAGGUUCCUU